rnacentral:rRNA from 1 species
CCCUUAGAUGUUCGGGGCCGCACGCGCGCUACACUGAAGGACUCAGCGUGUCUCUCCCCCUAUCCCGAAAGGGAUGGGCAACCCGUUGAACCUCCUUCGUGCUAGGGAUUGGGGUUUGCAAUUAUCCCCCAUGAACGAGGAAUUCCCAGUAAGCGCGAGUCAUCAGCUCGCGUUGAUUACGUCCCUGCCCUUUGUACACACCGCCCGUCGCUACUACCGAUUGGAUGGUCCGGUGAAGCGUUUGGACUAUGGUUUUCUGAUGGUCCGCCGUUGGAUUACCGUGGGAAGUUCGUUAAACCUUAUCAUUUAGAGGAAGGAGAAGUCGUAACA